GCAGGAAGAAUCACUGAUGUGGCAUCUCGAUGGUAGCAAGAGGGACAGACAAGUGGCAUAAUAAUCAGGUACAUGAAGAUCCCUGGUGCCACGGAAGCCAGUGCUGCUGAUAGGAUCUACAAGCCCUGAACUUAUUCACAGUGAGAAGAAAGUCAGAGUCAAGAAGAAUAAAGAGAGUCAAGAAGGCAGAGUUGGUGCAGUGGAGUGCUGUGUACAGCUGUGAUUCGGAAGAAGAAGGAGAGAGGAAGGAAGAAAGGACGGAUCAGUGUGGUUCAGAGUCUGAAGUCACAAGCAAUAGCUGAAAAUCACUAGAGAGCAUGAAGACUCUCUCGAGGAAUGAAAAUACAGGACCACCAGUCUGGAUUUAACCCCAGGCCAGUAAAAGUGGCUAAGCUGCAGAAAAGAACAAGCCACGUUGCUGACAAGAGAAGGCUGACCAUUUCCUGCCAAUGUCCUUUAAGCAGCGAACAUGGAGAGAAGAUCAGGGUCGGUCCUCAGGCUGCUAAAUCUUCACUUAUGGGUUGAAAAGAUAAAGCUGUUUCAAAUAACAACGGAUAAAAUAAGAAAGGCAACAGCACACUUUCUCUUUUUGAGAGUGGCUUUCUAAAACUGCUGAAGAAUUUUGCUCCAGGACUAUUAGUAGAAGACUACUGAAAUAAUUUUUAAUGAUAUGUGAUUUGAUUUUAAUGUGCUAAAUGCAAUAAGCAUGUUUAAAGAUACUCCAUUAGAGUGUGACAUGGACUCCCAGCACAUCCAACAGUUCUCUUUAAUAUCUGAAGACAUGCCAAAACAUUUAAUUUUUAACAGCAAUAAAUCUCUUUGGGAAUUCUUGCCAAAGGGUCUCUAGGAGUAUAGAGCAUUAUCCAAAGUUAUGCUCUUCAUAAUUUAUGGAACUAUUUUCCUUCUUUAUUAUUACUUUACUUGAAUAUCUAGUUUGUAUAGCCUCAUAAAAUUCUUCAUCAAACCAGCGAAGCAAAAUAUAUUUUAAGA